UACAGAGGGUGCGAGCGUUAAUCGGAAUUACUGGGCGUAAAGCGCACGUAGGCGGCCUGGUAUGUCGGGUGUGAAAUCCCCGGGCUCAACCUGGGAACUGCAUCCGAAACUGCCUUGCUCGAGUAUGGGAGAGGGAAGUGGAAUUUCCGGUGUAGCGGUGAAAUGCGUAGAUAUCGGAAGGAACAUCAGUGGCGAAGGCGACUUCCUGGACCAAUACUGACGCUCAGGUGCGAAAGCGUGGGGAGCAAACAGG
rnacentral:rRNA from 1 species